AUAGCCCGACUAUAGAAAAUGAAGAAGGUGAAGAAAGUGCUAAUUAUUGUUGGGACCUUGGGAACAGUAUGAGAAGGCAUCAAGGGAAAUAUACAGGAAAUUGGAAUAAAAUAGCCCAGUUCAGCUGU